CAGGCGGAAAGCCACGCUGCCCGGCGAGAGGCCUGGGCCAAAGAAAGAUGACGACGUUUCCAGCCAGCAAGAUGCCGCCGACCCCUCAGGUACUAGGACCCCGAGCCUGCAGAGCGACUCGGUGCGGAGGCCCUGGGAGAAGAACAGCUCCACCCUGCCCAGGAUGAAAUCAGGUGCCCCCAGCAGCACGGAGUCCCCGGCCAGCACAGAGGAGUCUGACCUGGAGCGGAUAAAACAGGUACCAGGGUGGGGGAGGAGCCAGGGAGCCCAGCCCUGGGGUAACCCGGGGUUUGUUCCUAAA
rnacentral:lncRNA from 1 species